rnacentral:rRNA from 1 species
UACGUAGGGGGCAAGCGUUGUCCGGAAUCAUUGGGCGUAAAGCGCGUGUAGGCGGCUCAGUAAGUCCGCUCUGAAAGCCCGGGCUCAACCCCGGGAGCGGGUGGAUACUGCUGAGCUCGAGUCCGGAAGAGGAGUGUGGAAUUCCUGGUGUAGCGGUGAAUGACGCAGAUAUCAGGAGGAACACCAAUGGCGAAGGCAGCACUCUGGACCCGACACUGACGCUGAGGCGACGAAAGCGUGGGGGGGAGCAAACAGGG